GACGAACGCUGGCGGCGUGCUUAACACAUGCAAGUCGAACGGAAAGGCCCUGCUUUUGUGGGGUGCUCGAGUGGCGAACGGGUGAGUAACACGUGAGUAACCUGCCCUUGACUUUGGGAUAACUUCAGGAAACUGGGGCUAAUACCGGAUAGGAGCUCCUGCUGCAUGGUGGGGGUUGGAAAGUUUCGGCGGUUGGGGAUGGACUCGCGGCUUAUCAGCUUGUUGGUGGGGUAGUUGCUUACCAAGGCAUUGACGGGUAGCCGGCAUGGGAGGGGGGACGGCGACAAUGGGACUGAGAGACGGCGCAGACUCCUACGGGAGGCAGCAGUGGGGAGUAUUGCACAAUGGGCGGAAGCCUGAUGCAGCAACGCCGCGUGCGGGAUGACGGCCUUCGGGUUGUAAACCGCUGUCGCCUGUGACGAAGCGUGAGUGACGGUAAUGGGUAAAGAAGCACCGGCUAACUACGUG
rnacentral:rRNA from 1 species